rnacentral:rRNA from 1 species
AUUGAACGCUGGCGGCAGGCUUAACACAUGCAAGUCGAGCGGUAGCACAAGAGAGCUUGCUCUCUGGGUGACGAGCGGCGGACGGGUGAGUAAUGUCUGGGAAACUGCCUGAUGGAGGGGGAUAACUACUGGAAACGGUAGCUAAUACCGCAUAACGUCGCAAGACCAAAGAGGGGGACCUUCGGGCCUCUUGCCAUCAGAUGUGCCCAGAUGGGAUUAGCUAGUAGGUGGGGUAAUGGCUCACCUAGGCGACGAUCCCUAGCUGGUCUGAGAGGAUGACCAGCCACACUGGAACUGAGACACGGUCCAGACUCCUACGGGAGGCAGCAGUGGGGAAUAUUGCACAAUGGGCGCAAGCCUGAUGCAGCCAUGCCGCGUGUGUGAAGAAGGCCUUCGGGUUGUAAAGCACUUUCAGCGAGGAGGAAGGUGGUGAACUUAAUACGUUCAUCAAUUGACGUUACUCGCAGAAGAAGCACCGGCUAACUCCGU